CUGACGUUAAUAAGUUUAAGAGCCGCGGUAUACUGACCGUGCAAAGGUAGCAUAAUCAUUAGUUUUUUAAUUGAAAACUUGUAUGAAGGGUUUGACAAAAGAAAUACUGUCUUUAUUUUAAAUAUUGAAUUUAACUUUUAAGUGAGAAGGCUUAAAUUAUUUGGGGGGACGAUAAGACCCUAUAAAGCUUUAUUUAUUAUUUUAAAUUUAUUAAAGUAAUAAUUUAAAAAUAUGUUUAGAAUAGUUUAUUUUGUUGGGGCGACAGAGAUAUAAUUUAAAUAACUGUUUGAAAUUUAAACAGAGAUACUUGGGUAAGAGUAAAUGAUCCUUUUUAAAGAUUAAAAGAACAAGUUACUUUAGGGAUAACAGCGUAAUUUUCUUUGAGAGUUCCUAUCGAAAAGAAAGUUUGCGACCUCGAUGUUGAAUUAAAAGAUCUUUAUUGUGCAGCAGCUUUAAGAGAAGGUCUGUUCGACCUUUAAAUUUUUACAUGAUUUGAGUUCAGAUCGGCGUGAGCCAGGUU
rnacentral:rRNA from 1 species